CUAUUUGGUUAACACUUCACUUUAUUGGUUUCCAACCAUUUUACAUUGCAUGCUUACAUUGUUUACUCCAUUUUGACUUUGUUCAAAUCCCUUCACAUGAUUUAAACAAAAUUAACAUUUCUUUACGUCUUAAAUUACGUGGCUUUGCUAAAAACAUAUAUUCAACCUCACUUUGCACUACAGCACUCAACGCAUUGUCUGAGGGAAAAGCAUUUUCUUGUUUGUUCUUUGUAUUAUAAUGCAACAUUAGGCCAGGCCGGUCACGUUUAAACGAUUAGGUUUCACCUUCCUGCAUGAUGUUUGAUUUGCAGUUGGGGGGGAAGGGGUCAUUGGCAGUAAACAGAGAUGGAUCUCUCCUAAAUGGAAAUUUGAUUUAGAGAUAUAGGCUGUUUAGACCUAGAGAUAACUGUGACUUUGAGAUGUAUUCCAGUAGUAUACAGGUGGAAGUAGGCCUAAGCUACCCAUAAACGUUUACUGAAGUGUACGAAUGAACAGUUCUGACUUUAGUUUAUCAACUAAAGAGUUUGGUAAACGUAACAGCUGUAACAGAUAAUAUACCUCCUCUCUGUGGGAUGGGGGUGCUGUUCAGGCCUAAAGCAACGUCUGUUCUAGAGCCACAUAGGUAUAUCCCCAGCCACCAAAUUAUAAAUAAUAAAAAAAUAAGAACAUUUACCAGGUAUACCUAUACAUAAUUAAGAAAAAACUAGAGAAAGCCAAGUUUGAUAUUUUUUUAGAUUUUAUUUUUCUGUUACUUCUGAACAUUCUCACUAAGUUCAGUCAUUUAGAUUAAUGCUGUAAUUACAGAUUCACAUCAAUAAUUUGUUUUACAGCUAUUCCAUAUGUAGAAUGCCAAAGAAAACAAACUCAGAAAAUAAGAUUAAAAAAAAUCCUACAUCUAGGAGUCAUCUUCACUUUAUUUUACAGAUAAUGUGUAAAUUACAGAUUAUGUAAACACAUUAACAUUCCUUAACUACUGUACCUACCUUUCUGUCUAGUCUUCUUUCAUUUUAACGUUAGAGCUCAUUACAUGUAUUACCAUUUAGACACACAAAUAAAUGAGUUUGGGAAUGACAUCAUGACAGAUUAGUUGUGUUCAUUUGGAUCACUAUUUGGAAAUUGAAUAGAGUUAACCAAUUUGAGUUGGCUAUGCUUAUAUUAUCCAAGGACGAUGGUGGUUAUAUAAAAGGUGUACAAUUUUCAGUUAGAUUGUGUCAUCUAGGUCACUUGUAUGUUAAAUUGUAUUAAAUGUAUUUGGUUAAUUCUUCCAUAUUUUCUGCUUUGGAAAACCAACAUGAAACUGGUUUAUUGUACAGACCGGUCUAUCUCUGUACAAAAAGGCAAAAUGUUAGCAUAUUUUACAGUAUAUUGUAAGCUAUUCCUAAAUCACUUAAGUGCUCUUUGUGUUGUAUGUUAUUGCUAUUUUGCCACAACUUCCUUCCACUAUAUCUUUACAAAUAAAUGAUGGGCCGCUAUAUCCAGAGAAAGCAUGGACAAAGUAUCUGGACAAAGUACAUGAACAUUUGUUUUUGUAAAACAAACAGAAAAGGGAGUCGUUCCAGGUUUUCCCUCAAAAUUACAUUUAAAAUAAAUCCAAGGGGCUAAGUCAGGAUAGGCAUGCAGGGCUGUGGAUCAUCACCGGCCUUAACCAGGAAAGAUGUGACAGUGAAACCAGCUCCACACUGGUUUAUUAAUGACAAUUGUUUUAUGAUUUUUUUUUUGUUUAAAUAGUUAUUUUUGGGAUGUACCAUGGUGGUUUUACAAAACAGGACACCCUUUGUAAAAACGACUGUUACGUAGUUUUCCAACUCUUUAGCACCUUUCCAAUGGCAAUGUAAUAGCCUUACACAGCCACCAGAUAAUACAUACGUACCACUUUCAGCCAGUAUCCCAAUACUGACUGUCAAACCAUGGGAAUAUUUGGCUUGAGAAAUGGCAUUUGUACAUUUAAAAUGAUCCUUUUCCUAAAAGCUUGAUGCAUGCUUUGGAAAAUAAUAGUAAUUUUAGUAAAUAUGAUAUAGAAACUAUUUAGCGAGUGAAAUUAUAACAAUUAGUAAAUGUUAAUAUUUAGAAUAAUCAGCUAUAAGAAAGAUUAAACAUUGAGUAUUAAUUGAUACACUAACUGCUGAAUUUGAGACUUGCAUUACGUAUACGUAAGUACUGUUUAUAUUGUAUACAUAUACAGUACUUAGCUUGGCUAGAUAAUAUAUACUGCACACUGGUUUUGGAAGGCAUUCUGUGUGUAUGUGCAAAAGUCAACCUAGCCAAAAUAAUGGACACACUAGCCAAGAGAGUUGUCAAUCAAGCUGGAUUAAUGGUCAGUGGUAAACUACACACAAAACUAUUUCUGAAAAACUAGACUCUGCAGACAUCCUUUUCAAUCUGUACAGGAAUAAUUAUAUAUUCAUUAGUGAAUGAGAUAUGAAUGUAUGUAAUAUAUGAAGAGCUGACUGGUGUAUAUAUCAGAUUGAGAUACUGCAUAAACAAUUACCUAGUUGGACAAGCAAAUGCUACUUACUAAAUCCUGACCACUUAAAGUCGUUAUAAAGGCGUAGGGAAUUGUAACAGCCGGCAGAACAAGGAGAAGACCCAUUUUGUGUGCUUUAAACAUAUUGAGCACUCAGGGGUCAGACAAAUUCAACUGGAGUAUGUGGGUUUUCUAGAACACUCACCAGUUCAAGAUUACGAAAGGCUGUUAACAGACACAUUUUGACAAUGGUGAGUUGAAAAAAGAAAGUGUUUCCCUGAUAUACAGCAUAUAACCGGAAUGUAUUCUUGCACCUUUGGCCUGUGCCGAAAGUUAGGUUUUAACAGAGAGGGAGUGAAAGUUAUGACAGUUAAUGAUGUUCUGACUAAAUUAAUUAUAUUCUAUGUAGGAGAUAGGAGAGGUAGGAGGAAGAAUUGUAAUGUGAAGUAAGGUAAGAUAGGGUAAGGUUAGAUUUCAGGUUAAAUGUUAAGGUGAGGUUAAAUUUAAGAUUAUAGGUAAGGUUAAAGUUAAGGUUACGUAAGGUACAUUAGGUGUACUUGAAGGUAGGAUUUAGGUUAAGGUAGGGUAACAGGAUAAUGUAAGGUCCAAGGUAGGAAUAAAAAGGUUGAGGUCAGUGGAAGACGUGUUAGACUGAGGAUAGAUUCCUCAGAGAGAUCACAGCUGGAGAGGAGAGCAGGGGUAUGACCAGUGGAUCACCCACCCCCAGAUCUAGAAGGAG
ensembl:lncRNA